rnacentral:lncRNA from 1 species
CAUCGUUUGACAAGGAAAUUGAAAGCAUCAUGGCUGACCGGGUGAUUCGGCCACGGUUCAGGGAACCAUUGCAUGACUAUCUUAUCAAAUGGAAGGGACUACCGGAAAGCGAGGCAAGCUGGGAGCCAAAGGAGGCGCUUNNNNNCCGGGUGAUUCGGCGACGGUUCAGGGAACCAUUGCAUGAAUAUCUUAUCAAAUGGAAGGGACUACCGGAAAGCGAGGCAAGCUGGGAGCCAAAAGAGGCGCUUUGGCAAUUUGAAGAUCAGAUACGGGCCUUCCUCGAAGAGUCGACGAGGGCGUCGACGCAAUAGGUGGGGGAGGUUGUCACGCCCCUCCAUUUUCUAAGAGGUUAUGCCAUGCGGGCGAUGACUGGGCAACACGCAGGCAAUGAUUUGGCGCACGUAUGGCAGCAUUUCUCUAGCUA